rnacentral:rRNA from 1 species
UACGUGGGGUGCAAGCGUUGUUCGGAAUUACUGGGCGUAAAGGGCUCGUAGGCGGCCAACUAAGUCCGACGUGAAAUCCCAAGGCUUAACCUUGGAACUGCGUCGGAUACUGGAUGGCUUGAAUUCGGGAGAGGGAUGCAGAAUUCCAGGUGUAGCGGUGAAAUGCGUAGAUAUCUGGAGGAAUACCGGUGGCGAAGGCGGCAUCCUGGACCGACAUUGACGCUGAUGAGCGAAAGCUAGGGGAGCAAACGGG